UACGUAGGGAGCGAGCGUUGUCCGGAUUCAUUGGGCGUAAAGAGCUCGUAGGCGGCUUGGCAAGUCGGGUGUGAAAACUCCAGGCUCAACCUGGAGACGCCACCCGAUACUGCCAUGGCUAGAGUCCGGUAGGGGACCACGGAAUUCCUGGUGUAGCGGUGAAAUGCGCAGAUAUCAGGAGGAACACCGGUGGCGAAGGCGGGUCUCUGGGCAAUGAACUGACGCUGAGGAGCGAAAGCGUGGGGAGCGAACAGG
rnacentral:rRNA from 1 species